AGGGUUCGAUUAUGGCUCAGGAUGAACGCUAGCGGCAGGCCUAACACAUGCAAGUAGAACGGUAACAGAGAGAGCUUGCUCUCUGCUGACGAGUUGCGAACGGGUGCGUAACGCGUAUGCAACCUACCCAUAACAGGGGGAUAGCCCAUAGAAAUGUGGAUUAAUACCCCAUAACAUCAUAGAUUGGCAUCAUGAAAUGAUUAAAACUCCGGUGGUUAUGGAUGGGCAUGCGUGACAUUAGCUAGUUGGUGAGGUAACUGCUCACCAAGGCUACGAUGUCUAGGGGUUCUGAGAGGAUGAUCCCCCACACUGGUACUGAGACACGGACCAGACUCCUACGGGAGGCAGCAGUGAGGAAUAUUGCGCAAUGGAGGAAACUCUGACGCAGCCAUGCCGCGUGCAGGAAGACUGCCCUAUGGGUUGUAAACUGCUUUUAUAUAGGAAGAACUACAGCUACGUGUAGCUGUUUGACGGUACUAUACGAAUAAGGACCGGCUAACUCCGUGCCAGCCGCCGCGGUAAUAC
rnacentral:rRNA from 1 species